UACGAAGGGGGCUAGCGUUGUUCGGAAUUACUGGGCGUAAAGCGCGCGCAGGCGGUCUUCCAAGUCAGUGGUGAAAGCCCGGAGCUCAACUCCGGAACUGCCAUUGAAACUGUGAGACUUGAGGAUGAGAGAGGUGAGUGGAAUUCCCAGUGUAGAGGUGAAAUUCGUAGAUAUUGGGUAGAACACCAGAGGCGAAGGCGACUAUCUGGCUAUCAACUGACGCUGAGGCACGAAAGCAUGGGGAUCAAACAGG
rnacentral:rRNA from 1 species